CAGGACGAACGCUGGCGGCGUGCCUAACACAUGCAAGUCGAACGGACGAGGGAGCUUGCUCCCCAAGUAGUGGCGGACGGGUGAGUAACACGUGAGCAACCUGCCCUUCGGAGGGGGACAACAGCCGGAAACGGCUGCUAAUACCGCAUGACAUAUCCUUGAGGCAUCUCGGGGAUAUCAAAGAUUUAUCGCCGAAGGAUGGGCUCGCGUCUGAUUAGCUGGUUGGUGAGGUAACGGCUCACCAAGGCGACGAUCAGUAGCCGGACUGAGAGGUUGAACGGCCACAUUGGGACUGAGAUACGGCCCAGACUCCUACGGGAGGCAGCAGUGGGGAAUAUUGGGCAAUGGGGGGCCAACCCUGACCCAGCAACGCCGCGUGAAGGAAGAAGGCUUUCGGGUUGUAAACUUCUUUGACGAGGGACGAUAAUGACGGUACCUCGAAAACAAGCCACGGCUAACUACGUGCCAGCCGCUGC
rnacentral:rRNA from 1 species